rnacentral:misc_RNA from 1 species
UUCUCUACGAUAGCUUCCGCCUCCACCUGUAGACUGUACGGUGCAAAUGAACUUCUCGUACGUCUCAGCCUUUUAAAAGGGCCACAGAGAGAGCACUCAAAAAAAUCAUUCAUCUUUCUCACUUUCUUCAAACUUCAUAUCAUUCCCCUCUUCUCAUGGCUCAGAAGGCAGUGUUAAAGGUCUUGACCAUGACCGAUGAUAAGACUAAGCAGAAGGCCAUAGAAGCUGCUGCUGAUAUUUUUGGAAUUGAUUCGAUUGCCGCGGAUCUGAAGGAACAAAAGCUAACAGUGAUAGGGAUAAUGGAUCCAGUUGCAGUGGUCAAGAAGUUGAAGAAAGUAGGGAAAGUGGACAUAAUUUCAGUUGGCCCAGCCAAAGAAGAAAAGAAAGAAGAGAAAAAAGAAGAGAAGAAAGAGGAAAAGAAGGAAGAGAAGAAAGAAGAGAAGAAAGAAGAAAAGAAAGAGGAAAAGAAGUGACCCAUUUUUCACUUGCUAUAAAUUAUUCAAGUUUUUAAGAGAACUUUGUCCAUUAAAGAUCCCUUUCUUUAUUUUCACAUGGUUUUCAGGAAUCUAUGGGUACAAAUAUAUUUCAGCAAAUAGUACAAGGAGUGUUAGUUUAAGGUGAGCCUGCUUUCCUGCAUGUUUUCACAUGGUAGUAGUGCUAGCUCUCAUGGGUUUUUGUCCAUUUUCACUUUUUUUUUUUUUUGGCAAUAAACUAGCA